UAAUUAGAAAUUCCCUCGAUCGUGGGCAAGGUAGAUUGAGAUGCAAUAUUAGUGCUGUUUCAACUGGGCACCUCCGGAGAUCAUCGUCUCCACCGCCGUUCAUGGUUCUGCCCCCAGCGGAGUGGGGAGUGGGUAGAGGCGGGGAAAGGAGGUUGGGCCCCUGCGGUCAGCCUCUCUGGAGAGAGUGACCAUUGGAUGUGCCUACCUGAGAUCACAUCCGUUGAUUCGGGGCAGCAACUUGCUUAUAAGACACAAAGUGCUAGUACGCCUUCUAGUCUGUAUGGCCCCGAUCCAUAGGAGGCUAGGGUUAGGGUUCAUCGUCGUCCCCAGCCCCAGCACCGCCAACAGUACGCCAAUUUAGUUUGGGUCUGCUGUGAUCUGUUCGCCAAGGGAGAAUUCUGUGCUAAAGAUUGCUUCCCGGUGGGCUCAUUUGAUCAUCUAUUUGAGCCAAAGCAAUUCAGCUUCUCUCGCGAUCUGUGGUCUAGGAAGUUUGCAAAGCCUUCGUUUGUGUCUGUUGUGAGGAAGAUGCCAGGCACAGAUUCAGGGCAGAAUCAGGGGUCGAGAAGGGGCAGAUACGGCGUUGGCCGUAGCCGCAACGAAUCCGCUCGUCCUCCAGCUCCUACUCAGUAGCAGUUCGUUGCUGAUCAAGUGCCCCCCUCUUUUCGUGCUCCUCAGAAUACCUCACAAGUUCCUCCCUAGCAGAUUCCCCCCUCUCCAUCUAUGCCAAACCCCCCAUCAUCCCUCUUGGUGCUAGCUCCUCUAACAUGGGUCAUCCGGCUAUGGGGGCUAUGUAUUCUGGUUUCCCCGUGUCUGCCUACCAAUAUCAAUAGUUGGCGCCGUGGCAACAACAGCCCUAGUUCCCUUUCCCCUAUAUGCCACUGCAAAAUAUGCAUGUGCAAUUCCAACAACCAUAUCCGCAGCAGGUUAGCUCUAGCAGCGGAGUAUCUGGAGGAGGUGGACAAGGUGGGACUGGGAAGAACAAAAAGAAACAGAAAGCCAGUGGCAAACAAAAGCAGCAAGUUGUUGUUCCUGGGCUGGGUGAGGGCUCCUCUACUCAGAAUUCUGUUGAUCCAGAAGGCUACAUGGUUGAUCCAAAAUACAUAGGAGCAAUUUGUUACAACUGUGGCCCCCCUGGUCAUUUUGUUGGCAUGUGCCAAGUGCCUAAGGUGUGUUUUAUCUACAGAACCCCAGGCCAUCAUAUGGAUGUCUGCCCCAAAUGGUACCAACCAUACCCAGCUGCACAAUUUUGAGGGAGAGUCAAUAAUGGACUAGGUUUUUUCCAUACUGAGGCUGGUGAAAAGAGUGAGAAUGAUUGGUUUAAUUUUGGGAAUGUGGGCCUCGCCGUUAUUGAGGAAGGUGUGAUAAGUGCUAAUGAUCUAAGCUGCUUUGCAAAAAUGUGGAAGACAAAUUGGCCUUGGCAAAUCAGACCAUAUGAUGACUCCCAAUAUCUAGUCAGAUUCCUCCAAACAAGAAAGUGGCUGAUCUUGUUGCUUUCAAGUCCAUUAACCUGAAAAAGAAAGGGGUCACUGUCUCUUUUAAGGAGUGGCGUGGUGAUAUACCUACCUAUGACUCUUUGAAGGAAGUCUGGAUUAAUAUAGUAGGGAUCCCACCUGUUUGGUGUUCUUGGAAGGUUAUAGCACAGAUUGUCUCAUCCAUGGGUGUCAUUGUUAAUGUUGAUUGGCAUGGAAUUUUUAGAAGCUUUUAUGAUGUGGUCAGAGUGCAGGUUGCUGUGAGAGACCCACAACUGAUACCUAAAAACAAAGUGGUGGAGAUUCAUCAAGACUUGUACCUCCUCAGCUUUGAAGUGGAGGGAGAUGAAGCUGCUGAUUCCCCUGAUCACAAACCCUUUGAUGACCCUUCUGAUCCUAAAAAUGGAGAUGGAAAUGAGGAAAAUCACAGGAAAAAUGAGGAAGUGGAUGAUUAUAGCAAUGAUGACAUGUUGGGAGAAGAAAUGGAUCAUGAUAGCAGGGAAAAACAAAGCCGACAAAAGGUCUACCUUUGCUCCCAAUGGGUCCAGGACAAGGACUGUUGGCACUCAUCCUCACACUCCUGUUGGGGUAACAACUGUUGGCAACUCUAUGUUAGCCAAGGGGUAGGAUGCUCCCAUGACCAAAAGCUAUUUGGAAGUUGUCAAGAGAGCUCCUUUGGAGAAGUGUGGAAACCUACUUCUACCUCAAUUUGAAGCUGCUAUUUCCAAAAGUGCUGGCCAUGGAGUUGGUUUUUCUGAGACAAAAAUCUCUUGCCCAGCUCCCAAACCUCAGGUCCAUAGAUCUGAAAAAGGGAAAUGGGGGCCUGUUGUUAGGAUGAGCAACAUGAUUAAAAGGGAUGAGAAGAACUCUAUUGUGAAAGCCCAAGAACUCAAGCAAAUUCAGAAUUUGGAGGUGAUCUGGAUGACAUAUAGAAGGAGGAAAUUAAGGUCAGACAGAGAUCCAGGGAGAAGGAGAUCUUGGAAGGUGAACUGAACACUAGGUACUUCAAGGUUGUGGCUAACCAAAAGAGGAGGAAGAAGCAGAUAAAUGUACUGGAAGGCAGCUUAGGACCUGUAGAAGACACCAAAGUUCUGUUGUGUGGCCUAGGAUGCAGGCUAUUUGGCGAAAAACUGCGUCGAACCUUUCUUCGUGGGAAUUCCUAUCCUCAGGUCGUGCCAGAACCGAGCUGGAAGAAUGGUCAAGGGAGUUGGAGCAACUGGCGAGGAGCCCCCCUCUCUUGAUGUGGUCAAAUCCUAGCUGAAGUGAAACAGUGCUCACUAAAGAUAUCCUGGUAGGUGGGGGAAUUUUGAUAUACUCCCUCCGUUCCACAAUGUAGCGCAUAUAGAUUUUUCUAGAAGUCAAACAUUAUAAACUUUGACCAAGUUUGUAGAGAAAAUCAUAUACAUCUAGAAUACCAAAUACGUGUGCUUAGAUACAUCACAACACAUACUUUCAUAUUAUAUACAUUUGGUAUUGUAAAUAUAAAUAGUUUUUUCUAUAAACUUGGUCAAAGUUUAUAAAGUUUGACUUUGUAGAAAAUCUAUAUGCGCUACAUUAUGGAACGGAGGGAGUAUUAGGCUCCCCUGUACCUAGGCAGAUGUGGUGUAAAAAAAGACUUGGUGAACUUGCGUUAUUUGUAAUAGGCUAGGCUAGCUAGCUCUGGUUUCUGUACUUCUUUUGUUUGGCGUGUAUGUUUGCGCUGAGGCUAAGGCAGUGUGUCUACCGUUCCUCCGCGUGCUACUUAUGUAAGGAUCGGAACUCUGUGUUUCAUUUCUAAAAUGGAAUGGAGUUGGGGCAUGCUGCCCUUUUCUUCUUCUUUU